GUGACAUGUACUCAGACUCUGGCCUUGCUGUCUAGGUAUGUUUGUCUACUAAAGCCUGAGGUAAAACCAAUCAAUAUUUUUACUUUACAGUUCUUUGGAAACUAAGUAAGCGCAAAACACCAAAACCCCGGAGGUUACUGUAUGCACAAAAGUGUGUACAAAAUCAGCCAUUAGGUUAUUAUGAAAAGUAACAAAAAAUGCUACUGGGUGCAGGAUGUGAAAUGAGUAGAACAAGCAGGAAAAAUGAAACUCCACAUACUGUGCUGUGACUUGAACUGAAGAUAGCACAGUUGAUCAUACUCUGUUAAGCUAAUGUAAGCAAGACCAAAAGUGUGUGAAUUGUAUGGUCAACACAGAGGAUCAAUAUGGCCAAUCCUUUUGAAUGCCCUCAAUAGUAGUAUAAAACAGGGAAGUUGGACUGCACACAGAGAAGUUGGUGGCUUCAUUCUCGGCAUUUGGUGUUGUUUCAGCUAUUGCAGAUGUCUGCCUGGCAUCCGUUGACUACCAUGGUGGAGAGUCAGUCUGCUUUAGGUCCUGCGUCAUCUCUGCUAUUCCUGUGCAGAUAUCUUGCCUUCUCAAAUGGCACUGGGCACCUGUGCCUUGGACAGGAAUCCUGGCCUUUGCUUUGUGAAGCAGCACGUUCCUGAAGGGCCACAACAAUGUGGUCAUGGUCACAGCUAAGCAUGGCAGCAGUGAGCAAGUUGAACAAAUCUUUGAACAGGAUGAUUGAAGUAUUUUGGUUUGGUUUGGUUGGAAGACUGUACUAGCUUGCCAGAGGGAAUUCAGAGCAAACCAGAAUACUUUCCCAAAGAGAAGGAAAUCUUUUUCUGAACCAGCUGAGGAAAUGGCCACUUCAAUCUGCUUUCUAGAGGAACCUUUUUGGAAGCUUCCCCCCAAAUAUGCCCUAAACCAGAACAAAUACACUCAGCAAAUAAAGAGCUUUGGCUGGCACUGACCUGCGGCUGCAGGUAAAACGAGCAGGAUGAUCAGAGACGCUGCUCAGCAUUUAUGCACCAUGAGAGCAGCAUGUGACUCUACUGGUAGAAGGCAGAGAAGAUAAGGACCUACUGUCACAGAGGAGACACUGCUGCAGAGUGCAUUGCUGCAAGGUAUGCGGCUCUUCAGGUGGGAGCUGAACUGCAGCACAGUGGGAGAUCUGCUGCCUUUGAACUGCAGUGUGGCAUUGGGAGGGGCCCAGCACUGCUCCGGUGCCUCUGGGUGUCUCUGCUGAAUUCAUGCAGGCCUGACUUUCAUUUCUGUCAGCAGCAGGAAAGCACUUACAGGGUGGGGAUUUGAAAGAAGGAGAGGAAGUUCCUUAAUCUUUUCUACAUCUCCUCUGUAUCUUUGCUGAUGUAAAAAAUGGAGGAUCAACUUUCAUGUUCAAAUGUGAUUUCAUUUUUCACUGCAUUGAGAAUGGCAGAAUGUUUUGCGUGGUUCUCAUCUUGGCCAGGAGGAAACACUAGAAAGCUGGAUGAGAUCCAAGCAGUUCAGAUACCAGGACUCAGAGGAGCAUUUGCAAAGGAGUGGGUGCUCAUCUGUCAUGCACUGGCAGGUUCCCUUGAACUCAGUAGUACUCAUCUGAUUUAUACCAGUCACAGAGGUGCCCUGCAAGCUUUGAGUUAUUUGUCUAUGCUGUCUUUGCCAAGUUUCCAAACCUGUUGACUUGAACUUUCAGUAGUUGCUUUCCAAGUGCUCUCACCCCACCCUUCCUGGCAAUAGGUAUCCAUGUAGCUCCGUGUGAUGGCUGUGGGAACUGCUGUUGUAUAUCCUGUGGAGAACAGAGCACUGGUGUCUGUAUCCUGCUGUCUUGCAGAGUCAAGGCUUGAGGCACUGUGCCACUGGUGCUGAGGUGAAGGGCAGUGAGUUGGAUAGAAGUUGUUCAGGAUCAGACGGGUGGUCUAUCUAAUCUGGGAUCUUGGCACUGAAAGUGGCUAGUGCUAACUGCUGUGGAGAAACUGCCUCUUUUUCUCCUAUUAUUUAAUUAUUCGGAUAUAAUGUGACCCUUUUUUGUCAACAGUAAGAAUACAUGUUUGUAAAAAAAGAAUUUAACUGUGCACUACUUGUUCUGUGGUCCCCAAACUUGUCUUUUUACAGAACAUGAACUUUUUCUGCUGUCUUUUCGUGUGUUUAGCAGACAGUGGGGGAAUCGACAAAAAACGUUAAAGGCUUCCUCCAGAUUCUGCUGAAGCCACUAGUGUAUUGUCUUUUCCAUUCCACCAUUUGGCUUAGCACUUUGUCCUAAGCCUCCUUUCCAUGUAAUGAUAAUUAGCAUGACUCCAAUAUUCAGUAUGGUUUUGGAAGUAGCAUCUUAUGAGAUGAAGAUGAAAGUAAUGAAAAAUGAAUGUCCAAGCCUCACGCUUCUCUGUCCAUAACACUUCUCUUACAAUUUCAUUUCGUUUGGUUCAAUUUGCAUUUCUUGUCUGAUCUCUUGAAACAAACACUUGUCUGAUGUAUCUCUUUCCAUUUGUAUUACCAAAUGACCAUCAUAUCAUAAAGGUAGGUAUGCCAAAUGCUUACUGUUUAUCAAUAAUUUGAUUUGUUGUUGUGCAGCAAAUAACACGGGAAUCUGCUGUUUCCUUUAUUCAUCAAAAAGGGCUGAUACUUGGGUGUGUGGUUUUAUAUCAAUCAUGGCUAAUCUAUUUCUAAACACCAAAAAGGUGGUGAAAGGGUGUCUGUCCCUGGUUCUUGUGUUGUGUCAGCAGCAGCACUGGGGACUGGAUCUGGCUGACUGCUGAGGAUGCAUCUUCAUGUGCUGACACAAAGCGUGGAGGACAGACAGGUGAGAUGGGGGAAAGGAAGAUUUGUCCCUUGCUGUAGUAUUUCAGAGUUCAACUAGAUGAAGCUGACCAUGACAUUACACCCUUUCUGUAGCUGCAUCUCUGCUCUUUCCAUUUAGACCCCAGUUUGUUAGAUGAUUCCUUCAGCAAGUGAAAAAAAAAAAAAAAGAAACAUGUAGACAUGCUUAAUGUGUUUAGAAAUGUGCAGGAUAAAAAGACCAAACCCAUUGAAACAAUUAAAGUCUUUCCUGUAAAUACUUGUGUGUUUUUCUUUUCUGAUAAACCAGAG